AACGAACGCUGGCGGCAGGCCUAACACAUGCAAGUCGAACGAAGUCUUCGGACUUAGUGGCGCACGGGUGAGUAACACGUGGGAAUAUACCUUUCGGUGGGGAAUAACAUCGGGAAACUGAUGCUAAUACCGCAUAUGCCCUUCGGGGGAAAGAUUUAUCGCCGAAAGAUUAGCCCGCGUCCGAUUAGGCAGUUGGUGAGGUAACGGCUCACCAAGCCUGCGAUCGGUAGCUGGUCUGAGAGGAUGAUCAGCCACACUGGGACUGAGACACGGCCCAGACUCGUACGGGAGGCAGCAGUGGGGAAUAUUGGACAAUGGGCGCAAGCCUGAUCCAGCCAUGCCGCGUGAGUGAUGAAGGCCUUAGGGUUGUAAAGCUCUUUCGACGGGGACGAUGAUGACGGUACCCGUAGAAGAAGCCCCGGCUAACUUCGUGCCAGCAGCCGCGGUAAGAC
rnacentral:rRNA from 1 species